rnacentral:rRNA from 1 species
CCUACGGGUGGCAGCAGUGAGGAAUAUUGGUCAAUGGGCGGACGCCUGAACCAGCCAAGUAGCGUGCGGGCUGAAGGCCCUACGGGUCGUAACCCGCUUUUGCACGGGGAUAACACCCUCCACUUGUGGAGGUCUGCAGGUACCUUGCGACUAAGGGCCGGCUAAUUCCGUGCCAGCAGCCGCGUUAAUACGGAAGGCCCGAGCGUUAUCCGGAUUCAUUGGGCUUAACGGGAGCGUAGGCGGGCGUUCAAGUCAGCUGUAAAAUCGCGCGGCUCAACCGGCCCCCGCAGUUGAAACUGGACGCAUUGAGUUCACAACAGGCAGGCGGAAUUCGUGGUGUAGCGGUGAAAUGCGUAGAUAUCACGAGGAACCCCGAUUGCGAAGGCAGCCUGCCGGGGUGCGACUGACGCUGAGGCUCGAAGGUGCGGGUAUCAAACAGGAUUAGAUACCCCAGUAGUC